rnacentral:lncRNA from 1 species
CAUAUUUCUUCAUAUUAAAAUAAUUGAAGAAUAUAAAUGCACUGAAGAUCUAGUAAAAUGAAAAAAUGUUAGGUGAGAUAAAAUAACGUAAAAACUGAUAGCACUGUCUUUGAAAGAGUUUGAGCCUACUAUUUCAGCGCAGAAACACAAGUCAAUAUUUUACAUACCUUAGAACAGUAAGGGUGAACUUAACAUUUGGCACUGUUAUCGUC